rnacentral:rRNA from 1 species
CACGCCGUAAACGAUGGAUGCUAGCUGUUAGGAGUAUCGACCCUUCUAGUAGCGAAGCUAACGCGUUAAGCAUCCCGCCUGGGGAGUACGAACGCAAGUUUAAAACUCAAAGGAAUUGACGGGGACCCGCACAAGUGGUGGAGCGUGUUCUUUAAUUCGAAGCUAAGCGAAGAACCUUACCAGGGCUUGACAUCCUUGGAAUUUCUGCGAAAGCAGAAAGUGCCUUUUGGAACCAAGUGACAGGUGU